UGCCAGCCGCCGCGGUAAUACGGAGGGGGCAAGCGUUAUUCGGAAUCAUUGGGCGUAAAGGGCGCGUAGGCGGCCUGACAAGUCAGGGGUGAAAUCCCUCGGCCUAACCGAGGAACUGCCUUUGAAACUGUCAGGCUUGAGGCCGGGAGAGGGUAGUGGAAUUCCCAGUGUAGCGGUGAAAUGCGUAGAUAUUGGGGGGAACACCAGUGGCGAAGGCGGCUACCUGGACCGGUACUGACGCUGAGGCGCGAAAGCGUGGGUAGCAAACAGGAUUAGAUA
rnacentral:rRNA from 1 species